UACGGGGGGAGCAAGCGUUGUUCGGAUUUACUGGGCGUAAAGGGCGCGUAGGCGGUCAGCACAAGUCAGUUGUGAAAUCUCCGGGCUUAACUCGGAAAGGUCAACUGAUACUGUGCGACUAGAGUGCGGAAGGGGCAACUGGAAUUCUCGGUGUAGCGGUGAAAUGCGUAGAGAUCAGGAAGAACAUCGGUGGCGAAGGCGCUCUGCUGGACCAUAACUGACACUCAGGGACGAAAGCUAGGGGAGCGAAUGGG
rnacentral:rRNA from 1 species